rnacentral:rRNA from 1 species
UGAGGAAUAUUGGUCAAUGGUCGGAAGACUGAACCAGCCAUGCCGCGUGCAGGAAGAAGCAUCUAUGGUGUGUAAACUGCUUUUGUACGGGAAGNNACACUCCUCGUGUACGGAGCUUGACGGUACCGUAAGAAUAAGGAUCGGCUAACUCCGUGCCAGCAGCCGCGGUAAUACGGAGGAUCCAAGCGUCAUCCGGAAUCAUUGGGUUUAAAGGGUCCGUAAGGCGGUUGAAAUAAGUCAGUGGUGAAAUCCGGUCAGCCUUAACUGUCGGAAUUGCCAUUGAUACUGUNUUUUAACUUGAAUNNNACUGUGAAGUAACUAGAAAUAUGUAGCUGUAGCGGUGAAAUGCUUAGAUAUNACAUGGAAUACCAAUUGCGAAGGCAGGUU